rnacentral:miRNA from 1 species
UAUCACAGCCAGCUUUGAUAAG